UACAUGCAAGUUGAACGCUGAAGACUGGUACUUGUACCGGUUGGAUGAGUAGCCAAUUUUGUGAGUAACGCGUGGGUAACCUACCUCUUAGCGGGGGACAACUAUUGGAAACGAUAGCUAAUACCGCAUAACAAUACUUAACACAUGUUAAGUAUUUGAAAGCACCAAUUGGUGCACUAAGAGAUGGACCCGCGUUGUAUUAGCUAGUUGGUAGUGUAAUGGACUACCAAGGCGAUGAUACAUAGCCGACCUGAGAGGGUGAUCGGCCACAUUGGGACUGAGACACGGCCCAAACUCCUACGGGAGGCAGCAGUAGGGAAUCUUCGGCAAUGGACGAAAGUCUGACCGAGCAACGCCGCGUGAGUGAAGAAGGUUUUCGGAUCGUAAAACUCUGUUGUUAGAGAAGAACGUCAGUGAGAGUGGAAAGUUCACUGAGUGACGGUAUCUAACCAGAAAGGGACGGCUAACUACGUGCCAGCAGCCGCGGUAAUACGUAGGUCCCGAGCGUUGUCCGGAUUUAUUGGGCGUAAAGCGAGCGCAGGUGGUUUAAUAAGUCUGAUGUAAAAGGCAGUGGCUCAACCAUUGUGUGCAUUGGAAACUGUUAGACUUGAGUGCAGUAGAGGAGAGUGGAAUUCCAUGUGUAGCGGUGAAAUGCGUAGAUAUAUGGAGGAACACCGGUGGCGAAAGCGGCUCUCUGGACUGUAACUGACACUGAGGCUCGAAAGCGUGGGUAGCAAACAGGA
rnacentral:rRNA from 1 species